rnacentral:rRNA from 1 species
CGCCAGACCCAGCAGCACCAGCAGCAGGGCCUGCAGAGCCGCCGCCCCCCGACCUCCCCCUCCCUCUCCCCGUCCCCCUCCCCCAGGCGGAAGACGGCCGCGGCGGCGGCCGUCUCCGCGUCCCUCGACGCCGACGGCCGGGCGGAUUCCGACGACUCCUCCUCCACCUCCUCCAAGCCCUCGCUCGCCUCCACGGCCGCCGAGGUGAAUGUCGUGUCCUCCGCGCCUCCCGCGGAGGAGGAGGAGGAGGAGGCCGGGAAUCUGGACAGGUUCCUCGCCUCCACCACGCCCUCCGUGCCCGUCCGGAACACGCCCGAGACAAGCCUGAGGAUGCGGAGGAGUGGAGAUGCCAUGGAUUCAUCUCCUUACUUCUGCCUUGAUGAUCUCUGGGAGUCUUUCAGGGAGUGGAGUGCUUAUGGGGCUGGUGUUCCCCUGGUGUUAAAUGGCGGUGACUCCGUGAUACAAUAUUAUGUGCCAUAUCUCUCUGCUAUCCAGCUGUAUGCUGAUCCAUCUAGACCUGUUGCAAGUACCAGGCAUCCUCUGGAUGAAAGUGACGGGGAAUCUACGGAUUUUAGCAGUGAGAGUAGCAGUGAAACUGAUGCUGCUCAAAAUGGUGUCUUACAAAGUGAGGAUGGCGAUGCUUUUGUAUCUGCAAGUUUUCCUAUAUUUGAGCAUCUGGAGCGGGAUCCUCCGUAUGGAAGAGAGCCUUUAACAGACAAGGUAUCAGUUCUUGCGGAUAGAUUUCCAGCUUUAAAGACAUUCAGAAGCUGUGACUUGCUGCCAUCCAGUUGGAUGUCUGUUGCAUGGUACCCCAUAUAUAGAAUCCCAACAGGACCGACGCUGAAGGACCUGGACGCGUGCUUCUUGACAUUCCAUUGCCUGGCAACACCUUCCAAGGAUAGCCAUCCCACCACACCAGCAUGCCCCGGCUUCGAGGGAAUCGGCCACUGCACCACCGCAACGGGCAGGCUUUCCCUGCCCGCCUUCGGGCUGGCGUCCUACAAGCUCCGCAGCUCCUUGUGGGCGUCCAACGGCGCCCCGGAGCAGGAGAGCGUCACGUCGCUGAUGCAGGAGGCGGACAACUGGCUCCGCUGCGUACAGGUGGACCACCCGGACUUCCGGUUCUUCGUCUCGCACUUUGGCGCGACGUGGAGAUGA